CCGCAACGCUAAACUGCGAACCCCGCCAGGCCCGGAAGGGAGCAACGGUAGUGGUGGCUGCGUGUGCCGGGAUGUGGCUUUUGGGG
rnacentral:SRP_RNA from 10 species